rnacentral:rRNA from 1 species
GACGAACGCUGGCGGCGUGCUUAACACAUGCAAGUCGAACGGUAAGGCCCUUCGGGGUACACGAGUGGCGAACGGGUGAGUAACACGUGGGUGAUCUGCCCUGCACUUCGGGAUAAGCCUGGGAAACUGGGUCUAAUACCGGAUAGGACCACUGCCUGCAUGGGUGGUGGUGGAAAGCUCUUGCGGUGUGGGAUGGGCGCGGGGCCUAUCAGCUUGCUGGUGGGGUGAUGGCCUACCAAGGCGACGACGGGUAGCCGGCCUGGGAGGGUGACCGGCCACACUGGGACUGGGAUACGGCCCAGACUCCUACGGGAGGCAGCAGUGGGGAAUAUUGCACAAUGGGCGCAAGCCUGAUGCAGCGACGCCGCGUGAGGGAUGACGGCCUUCGGGUUGUAAACCUCUUUCAGCAUCGACGAAGCGCAAGUGACGGUAGGUGCAGAAGAAGGACCGGCCAACUACGUGCCAGCCGCCGCGGUAA